rnacentral:tRNA from 1 species
AAGAUAUUAGUAAAAUAGUGAUUACAUCACCUUGUCAAGAUGAAAUAGUGGGUUAAAACCCCGCAUAUCUUA